CUUUCUCCGCCGGCGACCGGCGCACGGGUGAGUAACACGUAUGCAACCUGCCCCUGUCAGGGGGACAACCCACCGAAAGGCGGGCUAAACCCGCGUACAUGCCACCGGGGCAUCCCGGAGGCAGGAAAGGCUUCGGCCGGACAGGGAUGGGCAUGCGGCGCAUUAGGCAGUAGGCGGGGUAACGGCCCACCUAACCGACGAUGCGUAGGGGUUCUGAGAGGAAGGUCCCCCACACUGGUACUGAGACACGGACCAGACUCCUACGGGAGGCAGCAG
rnacentral:rRNA from 1 species